rnacentral:rRNA from 1 species
AUUGAACGCUGGCGGCAGGCCUAACACAUGCAAGUCGAACGGUAACAGGAAACAGCUUGCUGUUUCGCUGACGAGUGGCGGACGGGUGAGUAAUGUCUGGGAAACUGCCUGAUGGAGGGGGAUAACUACUGGAAACGGUAGCUAAUACCGCAUAACGUCGCAAGACCAAAGAGGGGGACCUUCGGGCCUCUUGCCAUCGGAUGUGCCCAGAUGGGAUUAGCUAGUAGGUGGGGUAACGGCUCACCUAGGCGACGAUCCCUAGCUGGUCUGAGAGGAUGACCAGCCACACUGGAACUGAGACACGGUCCAGACUCCUACGGAAGGCAGCAGUGGGGAAUAUUGCACAAUGGGCGCAAGCCUGAUGCAGCCAUGCCGCGUGUAUGAAGAAGGCCUUCGGGUUGUAAAGUACUUUCAGCGGGGAGGAAGGGAGUAAAGUUAAUACCUUUACUCAUUGACGUUACCCGCAGAAGAAGCACCGGCUAACUCCGUG